rnacentral:rRNA from 1 species
CCGGCAAACGGGUGCGGAACACGUACAGAACCUUCCUUUAAGCGGGGAUAGCCCGGAGAAAUCCGGAUUAAUACCCCAUAUUAUUAUUUGGUGGCAUCACCGGGUAAUUAAAGAUUUAUCACUUAGAGAUGGCUGUGCGGCUGGUUAGGUAGUUGGUGUGGGUAACGGCUCACCAAGCCUUCGAUCAGUAACUGGUGUGAGAGCACGACCAGUCACACGGGCACUGAGACACGGGCCCG